AUAUAUAUAUAUAGUCCAGCUACUAUACUCUUAUAAGUACGAUCGCUCUCGUACUCAUAAGUCGUUUUCGAUGAUAGAACUUCCAAAUCGACGAUCCAUACGGUUAAACAUUAUCUAAAACAUUUAAAACUUCUAGAAAUCAAAUUUCAUAAUUUUUCGAUAUCAUUUACCUUACAAUCAAAAGCUCACAAAAUUGACAAUUUGUAACAGCCGGUAUGGGAUACUUGCUAGUUUAACGUUGUAAAAGAAUCGGAAUAGGUUGAAUUUUUAAUAGAAAAUUCUAUUCACUACCUAGAUAAAAGUCAAUAACUCUAAUCUUAAAUUGAAGGAUCCGAUCAUCUAUUUUUAGAACGUCGUUCGAUUUUGACCGUUCAUUUUAUGCCCGCUAGAUGGACUUUAUUAUGAUUUCGAAAAAUUACGAAAUUUAUUUUUUAGAAGUUUCAAAUACUUUAGAUCAUAUUUAAUGGAGUGGAUCGUCAAUUCAAAAGAUCCAUCAUCAAAAACAACUUAUGAGUACGAAAGGCUCUAUACUCAUAAAAGUAUAGUAACCCUAGCCUAUAUGUAUAUAUGUAUAUAUAUGUAUACAUAUAUAUGUAUACAUAUAUAUGUAUACAUAUAUAUAUAUACAUAUAUAUAUAGAGUCCGGCUACUAUACUAUUAUGAGUACGAUCGCCCUCGUACUCGUAAGUUGUUUUCGAUGAUAGAGCUUCCGAAUCGAUGAUCCACACCGUUAAACGUUAUCUAGAGCAUUUGAAACAUCUAGAAAUCAAAUUUCAUAAUUUUUCGACAUCAUUUACCUCACGAUCAAAAGCUCACAAAAUUGACAAUUUUUAACGGCCGGUAUG
rnacentral:lncRNA from 1 species